CUGUCCUAAGCUACUAAUGAACCUGUAGGCAUUGGCCAACUCGGAUGCAGCUAUAAUUUCGGCCUCAGUUGCAUCUCCUUCUUUUCCAUAUGCAAUGUUGGCGCGGAUGGUGUCGUUAAAUAAAGCAGGUUCUUGGCUCACAAGCCCCAUCUGUUGCCUUAACCAUUUCAAUUGGAAUUUUCCAAGUUCAAUUCCAUCAAGUGUGAUAUGACCUGAAUCCGGAUCAUAAAAUCUUUGCAACAAUGCUACUACUGAGGAUUUUCCACUCCCACUUUCUCCAACCAAGGCAACUGUCUGCAAAAGAGAUUCACAAAAGAACCACCUAUAUGAAGACCUAAACUUCAUCAUCAUGUCAUCAAACUAAAAUAUUAUAAGAUAAUAAAUUUAUUUAUAAAAAAAAUAACAGAAUUGAAAUCCAAAUCAAUGAUGAAGUGCUUACAUUGCCACAAUGGAUAGUCAAACUUAGGUCUCGGAAAAUCUGUAUGUCUUGCCUAGAUGGAUAUUUAAAGAUUACAUGGUGAAGCUCAAUCUCUCCCUUUACGAUGUCCAAUUUCACACCAGACUCGUCACUAGAGUCUAUCUUUGACUUCCUGUCUAUUAUUGCAAAUAUGGAAGCAGCAGCAUUCUUGGCUUUACUAAAAUCAACAGCAAAGGAGCACGACUGAGAAAUUCCCAUAGCUGCCAUGGUUAAGGCAUAAAAAACCUGCAGGCCAAAUACACAUCUUAAAACCAUCUACAUAUGCUUUGGUCUUGUUUUAACAACUAUUUGAUUAAUGGAGGGAAGAAUCAGAGAGGCGCUGCAACUGCAACUACAUGUCGAGAGGCCUCUUCGUUACAGGUGCAUAGACGAGAUCCAUCUCACUAUCCCAGUGGUGUGUCAAGAUUAUAUGAUUUUUAUAUAUAGGAUCCAUUGAGUUUCUUGUUUCCACAUUGUAUUUUACUCUGCAUUAGAGUCCUUGUUAGGGUUAAUAACUGUAAACUGGUUUGCAACUCAUAACAUUAGCUAAAUCAGUUAGGAAUUCUCAGGGCUUGUCUUUGUGCCAGUAAAAAGAGAUCUCUGAACUUGGAAGACUUUGAUGUUGCAGAGGACUAAUAUAAAACACAAUGCCAAGUACCUCUGGUUACAUUCUAAUAUUUCAAUUUCAUUUAUUUACUUGCACAAACAGAUUCAGCUAAAUUUCAAGUUGCAAAUUGAUGAACAAGGGAAGCAGCUGAAAAAGAUGUUUGAUCUGCAACAAAAAAACUCUUUACCAAAAGAAUAUGAUAAGAGACCUUCCAAGCAUAAAAGAGAUCCAUGAUGUUUGUGAAGGUUGCCAACUUGGCAAACAACAUUGACAAGCAUUUCCAUCUGGAAAGGCUUGGAGAGCUAAUGCCUUGUUGGAACUUGUUCACACAUACGUUUGUGGACCCAUGAGGACUUCAUCUCUUGAUAACAAUAAGUACUUUAUCCUAUUCAUAGAUGACUAUACUAGAAUGAGACGUGGGUGUAUUUUCUAUGAGAAAGAUCAGAAGUACUUAGGGUAACUUACUCAAACGGUCCUUAAACUUGUACGCGAUUUACAUUUUGGUUCCUCAAUUAAAUUAUUCGUUCAAAUGGUCCAUAAACUCUAUUUUAAUCGCCCAUUUGAUCCAACCGUUACAUUUUCUGUGAGUUUUUAACAAGUCAAUGCCAGUGGUGGGGUCUACGAUGGGUAUAUGCGUCUUUUUAAACCUGAAAAGGUAUAUGCGUCUUUUUAAACCUUAAAAGGCUUUGAUUGUCUUCUUCGAUUAGCCAAAGAUGAAGUCUUCAGUUCGGGAAACAGGAGGUGCAAAGGCAACAGUAAAGAUUUUGGAGUUGCUAGGGUUCCUAUUUGCGGGUUUUGCGGGAAUUUCUGGAUUUCGAUCAUUGUGGAUGCUUGUCACUGAUGGAGUUCAAGUUCCGUUGGGGUGGAGAGAAUCCCAAAUACGGUAAGAGAUUCUCUGUCUGUAUUUUAUAUUCAUCUUGUUUUGCAAAUCGAUGCUUUUUGUUUGCAAGUGUUGGUCCAAAGGUCAGUUUCUUUAUGUUUAAAAUCUCUGGCAUUUUAUUUCCUUUAUGCUGGCAUUGACUGCAAAGUAUAGGUUUUUAUGUUUGGUGUGGUCCCUUUGUUGUCUGCUUCACACUUAAUUCACUAUUAGUAUUGAGUGAAACUGUAAAAAAAAAUUAAAACCCUAAACCUAUGGCAUUAGAUAAACGAGAUGUGUGUGCAGCUAACUUUGAAAUUUGAGGUGUACUUUUUUCAGCUAUCUCUGACAGAUUCACUCUUGAACUACACCAUGGGGGUAUGUUUGAAAAUGGAGUUUAUAAAGGUGGUAAGGUCUGUUAUUUAGAUAAUGUUGUUGAUGACUUUCUGUCAUUGCUGGAUUUAAGGAAGAUAGGGAAAGAGUUGGGGUAUACAAUAGAUGUUUCGAAAAUUGAGCAAACUAUGGAGAUUAGGUAUAGAAAGGCUGGACAAAAGGAUAGUAACAUAUUGGAGCUUAUUACCUCUGAUGCUAAAGUAGUUGAAAUGGUUGGAUACAUGCUAUGUAAUAGGGUUCAUGUGUUGUACUAUACAGAUUUGGAAAAUUCAAAUGGUAAUGGGUUUGGGAGUCAAGCAUUUGCUGCAUGGCCUAGUUUGGAUAUUGCAUAAUAUAACUAUGAUGCAGAUGUAGAAAAUGAUGGGAAGGGUGUUACAUGGCACACAUUUAGUGAACCAAGGGAUGCAGAUGUAGAUGUAGAAGUUGGAAAUGAAGGGGAAAAUGAGGCUGCAGCAACUGAGAAUGGAGAGGUUGGAAAUGAAGGGGAAAAUGAGGAAAAUGAUGCAGAAUUUGUGGAUUGUGAUUAUGAAUUUAGUGAACAAGAGGAUGAGGUGCUUGUAGCUGAGAAUGUGGUAGUUGGGGGCCUAAGUGGUGAGCCCAAAGCAGGUGAGAACGUUCGGCCUACUGUUCAGCCCAAUACAGGUGAGAAUGUUGAGCCUACUAUUGCCCCCAAUGCAUGUACGAAUGUUGGGCCUACUGUUUAGCCCUAUGGACAUGAGAAAGUUGGGCCUACUUAUGAAGCUCCAGGAGAGGUAUCAUCAAAUGGUGCUAACACAUCAGAUUUGGACACAGGAAGUGAUGAAGAGGAUCAAGAUCAGGGUAAUGGUGAGGAAAAGGGCAAAAGAAAGAAAAAAAAAAUUGCCAAAGUUGAAGGAGUACAGGAGAGAGGUGGAUUUAAGGAAUCCAGAGUUUAGGAUGAGAAUGCGAUUUGUAAACAAAAAGGUAUUGAAGAGAAGCUAUGGAGGAGUAUGCAAUUAUACAUGGUAAGUUGAUAAAAUUAAAAAAAAAUUUACAAAGUGAGGCUCCAAGCAGUAUGUAUGUGAGGACUGAAAUGUCCAUUUUAUUUAUAUGCUUCAAAGAUAGAUAAGAGUGAAUCUACAUUUGUAAUCAAAACUAUGAGCUUGGAACACACUUGUGGGAGGGUCGACAAGUUGAAGUAUGCCUCAUCCAAGUGGCUUUGCAAUAGGUGUUCUAAGAAGCUGAAGGGAGACACAGACUUGGAUGUGAAAUCAUUGCAAGAGGAUGUUUUGGAGGAUUAUUGGAUGAAUGUCACAAGACAUCAAAUAUACAAGGCCAAAAAGAGGGCCAAAGUAAUGAUUGAAGGGAGUUACAUAGAACAAUAUGCUAGGUUAAGGGAUUAUGCAGAGGAAUUGAAGAAGGCAAACAAGGGAAGUACAGUUGUAAUUAAAACUGAACAAGUGGGGGGCCAAGCUAUCUUUCUAAGGAUGUGUGUUUGCUUCGUUGGUAGCAGGCAAGGGUUUUUAGAUUGAUGCAGACCAGUUAUUAGUGUGGAUGGGUGCCACGUAAAAGGUCUUUGUCCUAGCCAGAUUUUGUCAGUAGUUGGGGUGGCUGGCAACAAUGGCAGUUUCCCAAUUGCUUAUGCAGUUGUUGAGAUUGAAAUCAAACAAUCGUGGAUUUGGUUUCUUAGGCUGUUGAUUGAAGAUCUAAAGAUUACAAAUGGUUUGUCAUAUGUGUUCAUUAGUGACAAGCAAAAGGGACUCAUACCUGCAAUUGAAACUAUACAUCCAACUGCAGAGCACAAGAUGUGUGUGACACUUAUAUAAUAACUUUAGAUCAUCACACUCUGAUCUUGCUCUAAAACACAUAUUAUAGGCUACAGCAAGAGCCAUAACUAUGUCUUGCAAGAGCCACAACUAUGCCUUGGUGGGAAGCUGAAAUGGAAAAUAUGAAACAAGAGGAUGAGGAAGCGUGGAAAUGGCUCAGUAAGAGACUUGCAAAGAAUUGGAGCAGAUCUCAUUUUCAUACACGGUUUAAGUGUGAUCUGUUGUUGAACAAUCUUUGUGAAAGUUUCAAUUCAGCAAUAGUAGAUGCAAGAGAUCAGUUCAUUUUGGCUUGCUUGGUGAGAAUAAGAGUCUUGUGAUGCUUAUGAUGGCAAAUAGAAGGGCUGCAUGUCCGAAAUGGAAAUAUCCAGUUGGGCCAAGAAUCUUGAAGAUAAUUGAGAAGUACAAGUUAGAUGCCUCCACAUGCAUUCAUCGACUGGUUGGCUCGCAAACAUAUCAAGUGUCCCACAUGUAUGGUGGAGAAUUUGUUGUGGAUUUUAGGGCAAGGACAUGUUCUUGUCGGAGGUGGGAUUGGCCAUGCAAUUUCUGCAAUUUUUCAAAGGGAUGAAAGCCCCAUUGAUUAUGUGGGUGAAUGUUACAAGCCUGCAACUUAUAUGAAGUCAUAUGAACCAAUGAUUCACCCCAUCCCUUCAAUGGACCAGUGGGCUAACUCUGGGCAUCCUCCAAUACAUCCCCCAAAUGUUAGGGUACAGCUAGGAAGGCAAAAAAAAACUAGGUCCAAAGAACCUGCUGAAAUUCUGGUACCACCACCACCCCCACCACAUCCAAUGCCUCCAAAUUAUGUUCAACCAAGAGACAAGCUUAGAAGACUUUUUAUUAAGAUCACAUGUAGGAGAUGUGGUCAAAGUGGCCAUAGUAGGGCAACGUGUGACAGACAGAACUCAGAAAAUCAAUAGGUAAUUAUUUAUUAUGCAAAUUUAGAGUUGUUACAUGUUUUGGAAGUAAUAAUUCCUUGUGCUCUUGCAGGCAAAUGCAUCUUCUGCCUAAAAAGAGGUCCACACUAAGGGAGGGGUAGUUUGACUGAGGGGUAGAGGACGAGAAAGAGGAAUAGCCAACGAGGCUCCAGCUGUUGCAAAAGAAGUUGCUACUUCUUCUCAACAAAGUGUACGUUUUUUGGGGUAUUUUUCUGCAAAUAUGCUGUCUCACAAAUUUGUAAUGUAGUUGCGAACUUAUAUUGGUCCUCUUUGUUUAGGUGGCAAGAGGUAUAAGAGGUUGGCCAAGAAGUAUGCUAAGAGAUAUGGGAAGAGGGUUGGCCAGAUGAAGAGGAAGAGCCAAUGAGGCUCCAGCUGUUGCAACUGAAGUUGCUACUUUUUCCCAACAACGCGUAUGUUGUUUGGGGUUUAUUUUUCAAAUAUGCUCACUCACUUUUUUGCAAUAUAGUUGAGAACUUAUAUUGGUCCUCUUUCUUGUUCACCCGUUUUAUAUUCGUUCCUGUGAUGGUAGGGUAAAGUUCCCCAUUGUCUUGAAAACCAUUGACUAGUUAACAAGUCAACUUUCUUUUGUGUAUGAGCGUGCCACUGCUAGCAACAAAAACCCUAGCAGACUUCUUUACAAAAUGGAUAACUUGCGCCCCAAGUUACUAAUUUCUAAACAAGCGAUUGUGAAUUUCGGUGAUGAAUAUCUCUCAAGUAAGUUCUUUUCUUGCCUCAGACUGGUCAGAACUUCACAAUUUUUCACAGUACAAAACUUGUAGUUCUGCCCAGAAUAAAUGAUAAGAAAGUGGAUUUUUUAGGCAGAACUGUCCUUUGGUAAGCUUAAAAAGGAAAGACCAACUCUAAAAGAGAAAAAAGAGCGUUGGUCUUCAAUUUUUGCCUGGAUAGAUGCUUCUGAUCCGGGCUGGACUGGGUAUGUCUGUGUUGGAUUGGACUAUCAACACCUUCAACUGUCAAGCUUCAGCUAUAAAUUGAUAUCAACGUUCGAGUUUGGCAGAGCUUUAAUCUGUUUCAAGCCUUGGAAGGCUUUUUGGAUGGGCAGAAUUAGGACCUCUUCAGUUUGGAAGGGGCAGAAGUGGCUGGAUUUGAUGAUUACUGAGCUGGAACUGCAUUGUAGUACCUGUUCUGCUUGGUCAGGGCUCUCCAUAAAUUUGUUGAGGUUUUCAUAUUUGUAAAAACCCGAACUCUGCUUGAUUUGGCUUGUGCUGAACCAAAUUUGUAAUGAGAGAACUCUAGCUUUGAAUAAUUAUUUCUCUGAAACUGAACUGGAGUUAGUGAUUCUGGAUUUAUAGCUGACUUGUUUCUUGUAGCUCAACGAGCUUUUGGUUGCUUAAGUGUUUUGAAGGCUUUUGAGAUCAAGUGAUCAUUUUGAGUUUUUGUCUUUGAUUGAUUUUUUUGGCUAUCCUUGAUUUGUUCACCUUCUCUCAUAUUUAUAGGAAAUGCUGGAGUGGGAUUUCUAAUCUUUUAAUAAUGGGCGGCAGAUUUCCUAAAGGCAAGAUCUUUUAUUUUAAAUGUCAAGAAAAAGGGGAUUUUAAUCUAUUCUGUCAAAAAGCUAUCAACAGUCAGUUCUUUCUCUGUUUUUUUUUAUUUUAAAGAAAGCCUAAUCCCUUUUCAACUUCUACCUGCUCUUUGCAAGGUUUCAAUCUGCCGUGAUGGUUAGUUUGAUUUUCCAGAUGAACAACUCCCUGCACCCUACUUAUCUCUUUAGAAAAUGUAGUUUGCUUAUCCCUUGGAAAUGAUGCCUGUCCUGAUGUAGAAUUAUAUAGAAAGGGAUUUUGAUCUUCUUUUGACUGAAAAUAUUGGAGACAUUUGCCUGUUUAAGACCUGCCGUCAUUAAUUCCCUGUCAAUUCUCUUGUGACUAGUUGAAUUUAUUGACUUUUCAAAGUCAGGUAGCCAUGUGGGCUUCUUUGAGAAUAGAUUUUUCCAAAAAGAUCUGAUGACUUGUUUUAUGGGUUUUGAGAUCAAUGGUGUAAAAAAGGGCUGGGCUAGUGUCACAUCCCGGGAUCGGCUCCGCCGUAGCACGAUAUUGUCCACUUUAGGCCCCCCCUCUCUGGCCCUCACGGUUUUGUUUCUAGGAGCUCACGAGCAACUUCCCAGUGGGUCACCCAUCCUGGGAUUGCUCUAGUUCCCAACUCGCUUAACUUCGGAGUUCCUACGACUCCGAAGCCAGUGGGCUCCCAAAAGGCCUCGUGCUAGAUGGAUGCGGGUGUGCACAUAUAAGGCACAUUACCCCCUCUCCGUUGGUUGAUGUGGGAUCUUACAAUCCACCCCCCUUAAGGGCCUGACGUCCUCGUCGGCACACUCGCACCACACGGCAGAGUGGCUCUGAUACCAAAUUGUCACAUCCCGGGAUCGGCUCCGCCGUAGCACGAUAUUGUCCGCUUUAGGCCCCCCCUCUUUGGCCCUCACGGUUUUGUUUCUGGGAGCUCACGAGCAACUUCCUAGUGGGUCACCCAUCCUGGGAUUGCUCUAGUUCCCAACUCGCUUAACUUCGGAGUUCCUACGACUCCGAAGCCGGUGAGCUCCCAAAAGGCCUCGUGGUAGAUGGAUGUGGGUGUGCACAUAUAAGGCACAUCACCCCCUCUCCGUUGGUUGAUGUGGGAUCUUACAGCUAGUCUCUUUUACUGGAUAAAAAACCCAUGUGUUUUGUCUCAUGGCCCUUUCCUGAAAAAGAAAUGGGCUAGGUGUGUUGAGAAUUGGCCCAUUCUUGAGAAAGACUCUGGUGGCUGCCCGAAAUUGACAUGGGCUUUUUGAUUUUGGGCUCUUGAUUCCAAUUGAAUAAAAAGCUCAAACUACUUAGAUCCUGAGAUUGCUUUGUCUUUCUGGGCCUCCAGCGCUGGGCGUGUGGAAUUUUGGCCCAAACAAUGCCCCCCUUGAAUAUGAACUGUUUUGGAAAAUGGUUCCAAUUUUUAACAGUUCAGAUUUGAAUUAAUUGGCCAUUAAUGUUGCGUGCCACUCUCCUUUGCUUUAACUAAUCCACGUCUGCCACGUCUUGUCUACUGAACUAGACUUCGUCAGAAACUGGGUAGUUAUUAGCUAGUUACUAGCUAGCCAUCAUCAAAUGACGUUUUGCCUUCUUCUUUCCAUGAUUUCGAGCCCUUUUCAAAAGAAUUUUGAACCCUAAGCUCCUGUUAAUAUGAAAACCUAACUCUUUCAGACUCUGAUUUCUUUCAAAGUCCUCAGAAUUCUUUUGCCUUUUUCUGCGACCCAACCUUGAUUUCUUAUGAUUUGAUUCCUUCUAUUCCAAUUUUAAAACUAAAAAUGGCCUCCCUAAAAACUCGUGCUGCUUCGUCGUCUCCUUCUAUUCCCCCUGCCUUCAUUACUAGCGGAAGCGUUGAUAAACAUGAGAUUGAAAUCCGGAGCAAGCUUCAUCCUUUUGCCCAGAGAGUUCUGAAUGAGAACGUGUUACAUUUGUUCGAGAACACUCUUGUUCUGGGGCCUUAUUGGUUUGGUUUUGUCCCUGCUGACAAAAUUGAUUAAAGAAGAUGUUGAAGCUCCUCUAUGCUUUCAAAGCUCUUCUGCCCUAGCUUCUCACACCUAGGUCAGCAAGAAUUUAAUCCGCUCAUUUCCCUCUAGUGAAGUGAGAAAUAGCGCAGUGAAGUGGGUAGACAGGAUUGAUAGGGUUCUCCCAAGGUAUGGCGCUCAGUGGAAGAGGGUUGGGCUUUAUGAUGCAAUCCUUCUGUCCAAGCAGCCCAUUAACAGAGAUGAGAAUCUUCUGGCUCCAUCAACGAAAAGUCAAAACUGCUUUGAUCUUGAGAUUGCUUUGUCUUUCUGGGCCUCCAGCCCUGGGCGUGUGGAAUUUUGGCCUAAACAUUUCUUUAGUUGGCAAAAGGUGUGGGAAGAGGUUUGCCAAGAACUAUGGUCAGAGGUUUGGCAAGAGGAAGGGCAAAUAUACCAUUCUCACAGUUAGAGGUUUGGCAAGAGGAAGGGCAAAGUUGCCAUAAGUUUAGCACCGAAGAGAAAGUUAUGCGUUCUUGGGGGAAAAAUGAUGAAUAGAGCACGAAUUUGCUGGGUCUUGCAGGUGAGAGAGGAAGUUUGCUCUCUAGAUGUGGUUGUUUUAGCUAAUGAUGAAGUAGUGGGGUGCUAGGUAGUUUCCGGCAGCUCGACGAAAACUCUGUCAAGCUUUGGAAAAGUUUUCCAAAAGGGAAAAUGGGAAGAGAUGGAAGGAUGAGCUCGAAAUUUUAGAUGUUUCAGAGUUGAGAGAUAAAGCUUGCUCUCCAGAUGUGUGUUGUGAUGAUGGGUAGGAAAUGCCUCUUUUUAUAGGCGCUGAAUGCUAUCAUUUUCCAAGAAACCCAAAUGAUUUCUGUAUAAUUUGGUCAAGUCUUUCCCUUCCUUUCCCUCUUCAUCUCUUCAAUCAUCCUAUUUUGGUGAAAUUUUCUCUGCCCAUUUGCACAAAAUCAGGGAUUUUUGGGAGCUCAAGGCCCUUUUCCUGCAGCUGCCUCAAUGGAGAAUCCCUAUUUUCAGCCAUCUUUCUUCCUUCUUUUCUCCCAUCUUCCAAGGCUAGGUCUGAUGAGGGAAAGAAAUGGGCAUGUAUACUGGUUUGAAGGGUGUUUUGCUCAAGUGUGCCUUGGUUUUUUGGAUGUUUUUGCUUGAAACUUGUUCCCUCCCAUGUGUUGGAGCUUCCCAGCAGCUUACACACAUGGAUAUUUUGGCUUUCAUCAUGGCUUUUGUUUUCACCUAGGUGCUGGAGAUUUUGCAGAUAUUUUCUUGAGUUGCUUGGGCCUUCUAGGACAAUAAGUUGGUUUAUCAAGUGAAUGGGCUAACUUCAUCAAUUGUUGGGUUAUUUUGGUUGAGUUAAUAGACUAUUUUGGUUGAAGUAAUGGGCUAUUUUUAUGUCUUUGUGCUCACCCACAUAUUUGGGCCUAAGAAAUGGGCUUGAGUUCUGGGGCUCCCAAGCAACCCCGGGACUUCCAUUUCUCGACUCAUCAAUGGGCCUCAUGUCAACUUAUUACUAUCCAUACCACAACCCACUCAAGCAAGCCCCGGGCCUCUUGCGUGGCUUGGGCCCGGUUAAGCUUGUAACGUGGCGUGUUGCUCAUUUGCUUGGCGUGGCAUGUGUGCAAACGCGUAUGACAAACUUUCUCGUGCCCAAAUCGGGUUUCUUCUCGGUAAGGUAUCGCAUUGAGCCGAGAAUUUAAUUGGGCUGAACUGUGGAUUUUUUGGGCCUCAACACAAUUUUCUUGAGUUGCUUGGGCCUUCUAGGACAAUAAGUUGGUUUAUCAAGUGAAUGGGCUAACUUCAUCAAUUGUUGGGUUAUUUUGGUUGAGUUAAUGGACUAUUUUGGUUGAAGUAAUGGGCUAUUUUUAUGUCUUUGUGCUCACCCACAUAUUUGGGCCUAAGAAAUGGGCUUGAGUUCUGGGGCUCCCAAGCAACCCCGGGACUUCCAUUUCUCGACUCAUCAAUGGGCCUCAUGUCAACUUAUUACUAUCCAUACCACAACCCAGUCAAGCAAGCCCCGGGCCUCUUGCGUGGCUUGGGCCCGGUUAAGCUUGUAACGUGGCGUGUUGCUCAUUUGCUUGGCGUGGCAUGUGUGCAAACGCGUAUGACAAACUUUUGCGUGCCCAAAUCGGGUUUCUUCUCGGUAAGGUAUCGCAUUGAGCCGAGAAUUUAAUUGGGCUGAACUGUGGAUUUUUUGGGCCUCAACACAAGGCACAAUUGACUAUGGCAUAUGGUAUAAGUCUACUACAGAUCCAAGACUAUUUGGCUACACGGACAGUGAUUGGGCUAUAUCAGUGGAUGACAUGAAAAGCACAUCAGGCUAUGCAUUUACAAUUGGGUCCGGAAUAUUUUCAUGGUCAUAAAAAAAACAAGAGACUGUGGAUCAAUCAUUAGCAUAAGCCGAGUACGUAACAGCAGUAAGUUCAGCAUGCCAAGCUAUAUGGCUCAGAAGAAUAUUUGAAGAUACGGGAGAAUGCCAAACAAAGCUACUGAAAUACUUUGCGACAACAAGUCCGCUAUAACAAUGGCAAAGAAACCAGUGUUCCAUAGUAGGACAAAGCAUAUCGCCAUCAAGCAUCACUUCUUAUGAGAAGUCUCAGCAAACAAAGAAGUUGAGCUCAAGUACUGCAAGACAGAGGAGCAAAUUGCAGACAUUCUCACUAAGGCACAUCCAAAUCCAAAAUUCGAACUGCUACGAAACAUGCUCGGAGUAACAUAAAUGUGCAUUAAGAAGAAGUGUUAAAAAUAUAGAAUAAUAUAGAAAGGUCUUGAAAAAUAUAGAAAAGUAAAGUCUAGAGAAUUUGAAUGAAUGUGCAAACCGACUUUAACAAAGUCGGUGAAUACAAAAAUUCUGAGAGAUCAAAAGUGUACUUUAAUAUAAAAUAUUCAAAGUGCUAAUCCCACCAACUAAGCUAUUGUCGGUUAAGUCUCCAAUAUAUAGGCUUGAUGCCUAUACAAAAUUGUAAGUAAGAAAAGCUGAAAACCACAGCUGUCUAACUCUCCCAUCAGCCAACUCUUGUAUCCAACAAACUCUCAAGCCUUGUACCCUUCUUAUUUCAAUCAAUAAAAUAAAAAAUAUUUUGUUACUUUUUCAAAAGUUUUCCAUUCUAAGUUGUUAUUGUCCCCUAAAGUAAAUCAUUCAAAGUGCUAAUCCCACUAAGAACCAUUCAAAGUGCUAAUCCCACUAACAACUUCUUCUCUCUUAAACUAACAACCAUUCAAAAUGUACGGAUGAGAUCCAUCUCACUAUCUUAGUGGUGUCUCAAGAUUAUAUGAUUUUUAUAUAUGGGAUCCAUUGAAUUUCUUGUUUCCACAUUGUAUUUUACUCUGCAUUAGAGUCCUUGUUGGGGUUAAUAACUGUAAACUGGUUUGGAACUCAUAACAUUAGCCAAAUCAGUGAUAGGAAUUCUCACGGCUUGUCUUUGUGCCAGUAAAAAGAGAUCUCUGAACUUGGAAGACUUUGAUGUUGCAGAGGACUAAUAGAAAACACAAUGCCAAGUACCUCUUGUUACAUUCUAAUAUUUCAAUUUCAUUUAUUUACUUGCACGAACAGAUUCAGCGAAAUUUAAAGUUGCGAAUUGAUGAACAAGGGAAGCAGCUAAAGAAGAUGUUUGAUCUGCAACCCAAAAAAAAAAAACAAGUAACAACCUGUUGAAGACUCAUGCAGUUCUCUUUAGUCUUUGGUGAGAAAAGAAAAGGUGGCAGAUUUUAACCAAACCAUUACAAAGAAAAGGAUAGAUGUACAAGAAUCUCAUGCAGUUGAAGCGCUCAUGUGAAGAGCUACUAAGGAUGCAUAAGAUCCAUUCGAGAUAUUCAUCAAAGUAUCAUGCUUGCCUCUCUCUACGAUAACCCCAUUUUUUACCACUGCGAUCACAUCAGCAUUCUUGAUUGUGGAUAGUCUAUGGGCAACCACCACUGUGGUCCGGUUUACCAUCACUCCGUCUAAUGCAUCUUGAACCACUCUCUCAGAUUCAGCAUCGAGUGCACUUGUAGCUUCAUCUAACAGUAAUAUCUUGGGGCUCUUGAUUAUAGCACGCGCAAUGGCUAUGCGUUGCUUCUGUCCCCCGGAUAAUUGCACUCCUCGUUCUCCUACUAUGGUGUCAAACCCCUGCAUAAUGCAUUCGGAUUAAUGUUGCAACAAUCUAUUAUAAGUUAUAACUAAGAUCAGUUGACUUGUACCCAAAAACAUUUAUUAUAAUGCAUUAAUGUUCUAACCUGUCCUAAGCUACUAAUGAACCUGUAGGCAUUGGCCAACUCGGAUGCAGCUAUAAUUUCGGCCUCAGUUGCAUCUCCUUCUUUUCCAUAUGCAAUGUUGGCGCGGAUGGUGUCGUUAAAUAAAGCAGGUUCUUGGCUCACAAGCCCCAUCUGUUGCCUUAACCAUUUCAAUUGGAAUUUUCCAAGUUCAAUUCCAUCAAGUGUGAUAUGACCUGAAUCCGGAUCAUAAAAUCUUUGCAACAAUGCUACUACUGAGGAUUUUCCACUCCCACUUUCUCCAACCAAGGCAACUGUCUGCAAAAGAGAUUCACAAAAGAACCACCUAUAUGAAGACCUAAACUUCAUCAUCAUGUCAUCAAACUAAAAUAUUAUAAGAUACUAAAUUUAUUUAUAAAAAAAAUAACAGAAUUGAAAUCCAAAUCAAUGAUGAAGUGCUUACAUUGCCACAAUGAAUAGUCAAACUUAGGUCUCGGAAAAUCUGUAUGUCUGGCCUAGAUGGAUAUUUGAAGAUUACAUGGUGAAGCUCAAUCUCUCCCUUUACGCUGUCCAAUUUCACACCAGACUCGUCACUAGAGUCUAUCUUUGACUUCCUGUCUAUUAUUGCAAAUAUGGAAGCAGCAGCAUUCUUGGCUUUACUGAAAUCAACAGCAAAGGAGCUCGACUGAGAAAUUCCCAUAGCUGCCAUGGUUAAAGCAUAAAAAACCUGCAGGCCAAAUACACAUCUUAAAACCAUCUGCAUAUGCUUUAGUCUUGUUUUAAAAACUAUUCGAUUAAUGGAGGGAAUAAUUACUUGGAAAACGUGUGGAAAUGUUGUUUUUCCAGCCUCAACAAGUUUAGCUCCCGCAUAGAAACAGGUUGCAUAGACACAAAACAGAGAGAAGAAAGAUAUUCCAAAUCCUAUUCCGCUGAUCAAGCCUUGUCUUUUCGCUGCCUCUGUAGGGCCUUCACAUUUCCUUCUGUAUAGGUCCAUUACCUUUUCUUCAGCACAGAACGAAGCAACUGUUCUUAUGCUCCCAACUGCAUCAUUUGCAACUUGGCUUGCUUCCUCAUACAUCAUCUGCAACCAUUUAAUACAUCUUGAUCGUUAGAAGGAAGAAGGGAUUUGAAUUUACAAAUUGUGAAAUGUUCUAAUAAUCCAGAAUUGGCACUUGAAAAUGUAAAUGUGGACAAAUUAUAACUGUAUUUAAAUGAGAAAGCUUUUACUUUCUGGGAGCUCUAGAUCAUACCUUUGCAUCUGCACUGAAUCCUUUCAUGAACUUUGCUUGAACAUAUCCGUUAAUUCCGAUCAGAGGAAUCAAUGCGAGUAAAAUGAAUGCCAGCUGCCAACAUGCAGUAAAACCAAUGAACAAACCUGCAGCUGCAGUGGCAAUGCUCUCAACUAUAUGAGCUAGUGUGUCUCCUACUAGGGCCCGCACUAGAGCGGCAUCUGCUGAGAGCCUGGCACCAAUUGCACCACUUGAGUUCUCAGCCUCAUCAAACCACCCAACCUCCAUGUGAACCACUCUCUCAAAACAAAUCAAUCUGAUACGUUCAAUUAACUUACUACCAGCCACAGAAAAGAAGUAUUCACUGGCUGGGAUCACCAAUAAUGAUGCCACACCAAGGGUCAUAAACAUAAUUGCCCAAAACUCUGAAUCUUUCUUUUGUUGACGAGGUGGUUCAUAGAAAGUCUUUACUACCUUGGACAAAAGCAAACCAAAAAUUGGAAUCAUAACACCAGUGAUGAUUGCAGCUACAGUCCCAAUAAGAAGCACUGGAAUCUCGGGCUUAUUGAGGGCAACAAGACGGCGCAUUGAGAUCUUUGGAGGUUGCUCUAAUGGCAGGGCAGGGGCUUCUGGGUCUGCCUGCAAUGUAUUAUUGUUCUCACGCAUGCUACCAACAGAGGAAUUCCGACUUAAGGAUCUUACGAACGCCGUCCUUUGACUCAACUGUCUAAAACAUUUCGUAGUAAUUUCGGAUUUGUUUUGAGCUUCUGCUGUUUGUUCUGAUCCCUUGUUUACUUCUUGCAAGCGUAUAAGUUGAGAGUAUGCUCCUUCAGGAUCCUUGAGUAAGUCUGAGUGCGAGCCUGAUCAGUUGACAAAAAGUUACUGUCAAUUGAUAUAUACAGAAAGUACUGAUCAGAGCUGACAGCCUCUUUGUGUAUCUUUCCAUUGUGAAUAUAUACUGCUGUUUCUCUUCACUCUAGUAGAUAAAAAUAUACCAGAUCAAUCUAAUAAUUAACUGCAGCAGCAGUGGACUUUCUGUUGCCUUUCACAUUAUUUAUAAGCCAUACGUCUGCGCUCUAAGUGCCAAUCCCCAACUAGUCUAUCCACAGAAAAGAUGUAUCCAUGGGAAAGAAGCAGGAAAUGCAUAGUAGGCAUGCAUGCAGUUUGAUUUUCUAUACCAUCUUAAACAAAAUGACAAAAUGAUUUUCUUUUGCAGUAAAUAAAUUCUUAGUUGCAGGUUAGUUAUUAAUCUGUUUGGCUCUAUUUACAUCAUCCUCUAAGUCAAUUCUGCAGAAAUAAUUAUGAGAUAGUGUGCAUAAAACAGCAGAAUUUAAUUUGUUGCAAUCUCCAAACAAUGGGUGGGAGAAUAAAAAGAAUGUGCUAUGAAUGGCCUUAUUAGAUAGAAUACCUCUUUCAACCAUCUUUCCUUUAUGAAUGAUAGCAAUUGUAUCUGCGUUCCUCACCGUGCUCAAACGAUGAGCAACAAUAACACUAGUUCGGUUGACCAUAAUCCUAUCCAAUGCUUCUUGAACUAUCCUUUCAGAUUCUGCAUCAAGUGCACUUGUAGCUUCAUCCAGAAGUAAAAUUCGUGGAUCUUUCAAAACUGCUCUUGCUAUAGCAAUUCUCUGCUUCUGCCCACCAGACAGCUGAGUUCCAUGCUCACCCACCAUGGUGUCAAACCCCUGAACACGAAAUAUAUAUGCAAUUCCAAAGUGAAGUAAGCCUAUGUUAUGUUCUUAUGAUGAUCAUGCGUGUAUAUAUAUGUACAGUUCAAUCAAAAUGAGCUAGCUAGAGCAAAUAAAUUAGAACCUGGGGCAGUUUAUCAAUAAAUUUAGCAGCAUUUGCAAGUUGAGCUGCUGCUUCUAUCUCUUCAAGAGUAGCACCAUCUUUUCCAUAGGCAAUAUUUUCCUUAAUGUUGGAUGCAAACAGUACAGGUUCCUGGCUGACAAGACCAAUUUUACUCCGAAUCCAUUUGAGCUGAAAUUCUUUUAGGUUUAUACCAUCUAUCAAAACUUCACCAGCUCUUGGAUCAUAAAACCGCUCUACCAGACUGAUGACUGUUGACUUCCCACUUCCACUUUCUCCAACCAAAGCUGCGGUGGUGCCACUAGGGAUAUAAAGUGAGAACCCGUCGAAUAUUUGUUCAUCUGGUCUGGCUGGAUAACUGAAAAAUACCUCUCUCAACUCUAUAUCUCCACGAAUGUCAUUCAAUGUCUUUCCUUUUUCGUCAUAGGCAUCAAUCUCUGGCCUCCUACUGAUAGUCUCAAACAUCUUAAAUGCUGCAACUUGACCAGCGGCGAAUGCACUUAAGCAUGUUGAUGCCUGCCCCAGAGACCUAACUCAUAUCCCAAAAUAGUUCCAAAAGAAAGAAAAUUAUCAAAUUAUUAAGGAAAAAAGCAAAGAAAAAAAUAAAGGGAAGAAAUUUGAAAGUUAAGAGUGGAGCUUACAUGGAUGCAGUCAAAACAGCAAGAAUCACAUUCAGCACAUCACCCCCGGAAUAUCCUUUUUCCCUUAUCAUUCUUGAACCAAACCAUACAGCCAAGGCAUAAGAGAAGAACAAAACUAGCAUAACGAAACCAUGACCUAUUCCAGCAGCCGAACCUUCAUGAACACCUGAUUUGUAAGCAUCCACAAGAUUUUUACUGUAACUUGUAAUAGCUUUCUUCUCUCCAGUAAAGGAUGCAACCUAGAUAUAUGAUAUAUAGGAACCAACCAAAUGAAAAACAUCAUCAUAUAUAUUCUUGGCUGGUCACACAUAAAUAAAUAAAAAUUAAUUAAUUAUUCCAAUAUCUAGCUCUAAGGCGAAUAAAUUGUACAUUAUGUGACUACAUACGGUUCUAAUGGAGCCUAUCGUCUGAUCAAGAACGUUUGCUGCUUUUGCGUAAGCACUUUGUCCAUGGGAUGCCAUCUUGGUUACAAUGAAGGAUAUAGAUGCACCAGCUGCCACAAGCAGAGGAACACAGGAUAACAUGACAAGGGUAAGAGGCCGCACUUUGAUGAAUGCUAUUAUAAACCCUGCAAUGAAUGUUGAAAAUAGCUGGACAAAUUUCCCAACCUGCACCAACAAGUUGUUGUUACAUUAUUAUAAGAAGAGUAACACAUUUCACGGUUUCUAUUCUUCCAUUCCAUUUCCAGGUGAUUUUUAUUUUUAUUUUUUGUACUAGUACACGUACCUUCUCACCCAUGGCAUUUUGUAUGAGAACAGUGUCGCCGGACAUUCUCCCAACGACCUCUCCACCGCCAUUUGUUUCCAUAUCAAAGAAAGCAAUAUCUUGUCUCAAUAUUGUUUUCAAAUACAAAGCUCUUAUCCUCGCAGCUUGUCUUUCCCCUGUUACCAUCCAGCAACCGACCUCUAUUGAACAAAAAAAAACAGAGGCUUAUCAAUCAGUUCAAAUGCUCAAUUAAUAUAUAGAAAAAGGAAUUUCUCCAUGCAUUGCAUUAUCAAAAACAAAAACUUAUGAUAUGUACUUACGAAGAGUUGCAGCCACAGCUGCCCAGAUAGCCAAAUACACAAAUUUUAGAGAGACCUGCAAUUUUCCAAGAUAAGUGAUCAUCAAGAUGUUCAGCGAAUCAGUAGAGGAAGAGAUCAUGUUAUAAUUAUGUUAUGAAUACCUUGAAACAAAAUAUAUGUAUAAAAAAACACCUGAGCUCCAGAAGUGAACAGGAUUUUCUGGAACUUGAAUAUUUCACCUCAUAAAUUAAAACAGAAGUUGAUAAUGUAAAUAAAAGUAGACGUUUUUUUUCCAGUGGUGGAGAUUAAAACUCAGGUUGUGACUUGUAUGUAGACUUGUGAAACAUAAGUUUACCUUGGAAACAACACUGAGUCCUAUGUGUGUAUUGUUUUGAUUAGUUCCAAAAGAAUCACUCAUCUCCCCAACCAGUAUCGUCAUAAUUGACAUACAUGAACCGUUCCCCAUGGCACCAAUCGUGCCGACGAGCAUCAACAUAACAUCAGUCUUGUCUGCAAACGAAAAUAACUUUAUAAAUGCAACUUUGUCAGUUUUCUCGUCUCUUCCAUAGCUGCUCUUGUCAUGAUCCCUGUUCAUCAUGCUAGACCUCCUCUCUUCUUCUUCUUCUUGGUCUCGGUGUUGCUUUUUGAUGUUGUAUUAUUAUUUCACACUAACCACCAGACUUUUGAUUAAUAGAAAUUUAGUAAAAAACCCAAAAGAAACAAGCUCCUGUCAAACACACCCAAACUAUUUUUUAAAAUGGCUGAAAAGCCCCUAAUCUUAAACAUCAACGACAUGCAAGUCCUAGGCCUCUCUCAUCCAUCUACAACAUGUGAAGUUCUUGUCUUUUUUCAGCAACAGCACAGUAAUAUUGGCAGCAACACAGUAACAGUGUCAGCAGCAGCAGCAACAGUGCAGUAGCCUAUAUUUUAAAAGCUUUGUUUAUUUAUGUGAAUACAUCUGAAAUAAGCAUGUGAAUUCGUUGGAUUAUAUAGUGUGUGCAUGUGAAGUGCAUAUGUAAAUUUAGAAGUAUGUAGAGUGCUCAGAGAGAUAGAAUGAUAGAGAGAAGAGAGCUCCUCUUCUCAUCCUUAGUGAAGUCGGUGAAAAUGAUGUAUAUAGUUUGUAACUCCGAAGAGAGAAGUACAACAAAACCAGAGAAGAAAAAAUUCAAGUACUUCUUCCUUCAGUUUUCAAUCAAUAAAACUCGCUUUGUUUAUAUAUGCUUUCUCUUAUUCUCUUAUUAUACUCCCUUACUCCGACCACUGUUAAUACCGUCAACCACUGUUAAUAGCCGCUCAUAACAAUUCCAGCAACAAAAGCAAUGAAGUAAGUCUUUUUCUUUUUCUAUUUUUGGUUUUCUUAGUAGACUUCUUGUCCAAAAUAGGGAAGCACUUUUAUAAUUAUUAUCUUGCUAAACUGAUGAUCAAUACUUUGUUUGAGCACUUGGUCAUGUUUUAUAUUUGUCAUAACAAUAAUUGGAUGUCUGUCAGGGAACCUCUGAGUUUAGAGGACCUCUGAGUUCUGCUCCAUAGCCCUUUAAGUUGGCAUCUUUGCAGUUCCAUAUUCUAGGCAUGGUAUCUUGUUGUUAUUUUAGCCUUUAGAAACCUUGACUGAGACCCGCUGAAAAGUAAUAGUAUCAGAGAUUUAGUUUAGCACCCUAAUUAUAUAAUUAUAACAGUAAAGUGCCUUGAGGACAAAAGUCAAUUAACACAACUGAUAAAAACCAACAUUUUAUAACGUGUCAAAAUUUUGAUAAUUACCAAAAUCACCAGUUAAGAACAGUAAACCCUUUGCCUGUUUGGCCUUUCGUGGACACCUAUUAGAAUAAAAGAAAGGUUACAAAAAUUAAAGAGAUAGAAAGCUGAAUACCAAAUAGAAAUUAGGAAUCUAGAAGAAUUAAUAAAAUCAUCAUAAAUAAGUAAUUAUCCCAGAAGAAAAUUAGAAGUACAGAAUAACAUAAUAAGAAACCAAUAUCAUCAUUUACAAGUUUGUACAGAAUCCAUAGAAGCAUUUCAAGAGCAUUUAGGUAUCUUAAAAGAAAAAGGUAGACUUAGAUAAAGUUAAUUAUAUGAUAGAGUACCUUAAUUUAGAAAUCAAUGAACAACAAAUGAAAAAAUUAACCUUAGAUAAUAAUACAUUAGUUUGUUAUUUUCCACAAAAAGAACACAAACAUCUUUUACACAGUAGUAAUAAUCCCUUAGAAAAUAGUAUUGUUGAUAUUUUAAUUAGCCUAGCAGAAAGUGUAAAAUUUGAACAUAACAAACAUAAUAUAAUAAUUCAACAGUUACUAGAAUAUUUUCAGAAAAAUUCCUUAAAAACAAUUAGACAAAACUUAGACUAUAUAACAUCUCAAUUAGAAGAUAAUAAUAAAAAUAUUCAAAGAUUUCCUAGUAAGAAAGAAAUCAAAGAUCUCAUAGAUCUUAUAGAUAGCAAGCCAAAACAAAUAGAACUCCAAUCAUUUGAAAUUAUUGAGCAAUUAAAAAUAGAAGUGCAAAAAAUUUAGUUAGUACAAAAAACAUUAACUGAACAAGUAGAAAAGUUACAUAAUCAAAUAGAUAGACUUUUAGUUUAAUGACAUAUUCUAAAAUUAAUAAUAAAUAUAUCAAAGCAUUAGAAGAAGUUGGUAAAUUAGAUAAUGAACCAGUAGGUCUUACAGAAUUUACAAAAUUUGUAGUAGGUAGUAAUAUCCCUAUAAGAUAAAAUAAUUUAAUUAUCCAAUUAAUUUUAAAUCUAGCUGAAAAAGUAGACCAAUUAGAAGAAAAAAUAACAUAAAUUAAUCAAUUAGUGUGCAAUACUACUUCCACACCACCCAAAGAAUUAAUUGAUAAAUUAGAAAAUUUAACCUUAGGAAAUAAUAUUCAUAAAAGAUAAAGUACAAUAAUCCAUUUGAUAAUAGUAAAUAGAACUCUUUAGAAGAAAAGGAAAAGAAAUAGUUAGAAUAGAAGAUGUAUACCCUAGUGAACAAGAAGCACAAGAAUUUUUUAGAAAAGGUUUUGAAAAAUGUCAAAAAAAUAAAUAUAAUUUAUAUAAAUUCGGAAGAUUUGAAAAUAAACAUAGUAUUGUAAGUAGCAUUAGUCAACAUGAAGUUAGCUGUAUAGAUAAAGAAGUAACUCUUAAUUUACUUAGUAAUACAGUAAUAGAACAUCUUUAAAAGUCACACUAUCAACAAAUUCAUAUAGGAACAAUUAUGAUAGGAAUAGCUGGACUCACAAGAGCACAAGUAGGAACUAAAGCAUUAGUAUAAAUAUAUGAUAACAGAUGGGACAACUAUCAGCAAGCAGCUAUAGCCACAGCAGAAGUAGAUCUUAGCACAAACCUAUUAGUCAUAGGAUGUAUUCCUAAUUAUUUCAUGAAUAUUAGAGAAUUUAGUAAACAUAUUGAAAUUAGCAUAAGAACAAAAAAUUAUAGUAUGAAAGGGGAAUACAAAAAUUUAAGUAUUAGUCUUAUGUAUGAGGAAAAAUUUCAGAUAACUAUAACUAUAAAUUUAAUGUAGAAUUUCAAAAUUUAGUACAAACUUUUGGUAGUAAACAUGUUAAUAUGAUAGAAGCAAAACCAGUAGAUAAUAGCUUUUUAGAAGGAAUAUAAUGGAUUUUACCCAAUUUACAAGUAGCAAAAAAUAAUAAGAUUUACUAAUUAUAAACAAAUAAAUGAUAUAGAAGAUUUAGAAAGUGAAUUAGAAGAAGAAAUACACAUGACAUUUGAUAAUUUAGAAAUAAAUAUGAUUGAGCAUAAUUUUGAUAAUAUAGCUGAUAAACUCAUAGAUGACAUAUAUAAUUUAAAUGAAGAAAAAUAUAUAGAAAAAUAUAAAACUUAUAAUUUAGGAUUACAUAGAUUAUCAGAUAAAGAAGUGAAAGAUUUAAUUAAAUAUAGGAUUAGAACAUAUUUUAGGAGAAAAAGAAUAUCAAAAUAUGUUAAUUAAAGUAGAAUGCAUGCCAGCAAAAGAUCAAUAUAGUUCAACUGGACCAUCUGUAGUUCACGCAAGUAGAACAGACCAGCAAAAUCUUAGGCAAACUAAUGAACUAGAUAGAGAAAAUAAUGAAGAAACCUUUAGGAGUGUUUUUCAACAAGAAACAUUUGGACUAAGAAAAAAUAGAAUUCCUUAUAAAGGAAUCGAACAAAUUAGUUUAGUAGGAAAUAUAUUAAAUUUAGAUCAUGUAAACCCACAAGAUUGGAAAAAAAAAACUACAGAAAGAUGGGAAAAAGGAUGUGUACAAGCAGCAUUAAUGUUAGAUUUUAGUAAUAACAUACUUUAGAUGGAAUGGAUUUUGAUUACUUCCAAACAUGGAAAAUUAAAAAUCCAAGAGAACAUCAAACAGUAAAAGAAAUAAUUAAUAUGGAUGCAUUUGUUAAGUUAAUUAAAUAUGAAUUUUUAGAUCAUAACAGAUUAGAUGGUAGAAAUGAAUAGGGCUGGCAAUGGGUCGUGUCGUGUCGGAAUAAUAAACGUGUCAAGAAUGCUCAACCCGAACCCAACCCAUUUAAUAAAUGUGUCGUCUCGUGCGGGUUUCGAGUCGUGUAACGGGUUCAUAAAGAAUAACAUGCAUGUUACAAAACUCACAACCGAAAAAAUUUUAAUUAAAAAAAAACAAAGAGAGUAGAGAAAAUAUAAGGAAAAGAAAGAAAAAAUAGAUAGAGAGAGGAGAGAAGAGAGAAGGAAAAGAAAGAAAAAAAAAUAGAGAGAGGAGAGAAGAUUGAAGGAAAGAAAGAAAGAAAAAAGAGAGAUGAGAGAAAACUAAAGAGAAGGAAAAAAAAGAAAAAAAAAAAGAGAGAAGAGGAAAGGAAAAGAGAGAAAAAAGAAGGAAAAGAAAGGAAAACUCAAAAGAAAAAGAAACAUUAUAAAUUUCAAAAGGCAUACCAUAAAAUCCCAAAGUUGUUUGUAGCAUGGUGGAUAAGAUGUUUGAGAGAAAUGAGGAUGGUAGGGGUUCGAAACCCUUUGUGUAUGUGCUGAAGUCUCCAUUUGUCUUUAUAUUUUAGCGGGUACACGGGUUGACACGACCCAUGACACGACCCGUUUAAUAAACGGGUUAGAUAGGUAUUAUAGUGGGUUAGAGGGUUGACCCGAAACCUACCCGUUUAUUAAACGGGUCAGAACGGGUUGACUCGAAAUUGACCUGUUUUUUUAUCAUGCGGGCUUCGAGUCGUGUCCGAAAUUGCCACCCCUAAAAAUGAAUAAGAACAAGUUAGAGCCAUAAGAAAUUUAGAACAAUUACAAAUUUGUGAUUUACAAUAUAUUAGUGAAUAUACUUCAGACUUUUUCAAGUAUUUAGGUAGAACGGGCAGAAUUGAUGAUCUUAAUUUAUUAGAUACUUAUAUGACAACCAUUAAAGGACCAAUAGGAGAAAGAAUUUGGAAUGAAUGGCAAAAACACCCUAGAAAACUAGAUGUAUCCAUAGGAGCAAGAAUACAACAGGUAUAUAAUAUAUUACGAUCAGAAUGUAGUCAAAUAAAAGCAAAAAGACUAAUUAGAAAACAGUUUUACAUGAGCUGUAAAAAUGUAGAUUUACCUAAACAAUAUGGAUGUCAUAGAAAAUUUAAGCAGAAAAAAGUCAUAUAAAAAGAGUUAUAGAAAAUAUAGACCUUAUAAACAACAAUAUAAAAAUUUUAGAAUUCAACAUUCAAAAACUUUUAGAAGAAGAAAAUAUAUCCCUAAACAAUUUAGAAAAAGAACAAACAAACCAUGGAUUAGAAAGUACAAAGUACCCAAUAAAAGUACAUUUAAAUGCUAUCUUUGUGGUGAAGCAGGACAUAUUAGACUUAAGUGUCCCAAAUUAGGAAAGCAACCUAGAGAAAAAAUACAAUUAAUUGAGCAAUUUCAAUUAGAAGAUGAUGAAGACUUAGAAUCAAUUUAUAGUUUUGAUGAUAAUUUAAGUGAUAAUGAAAGUAUUUAUAGUGUUAAUGCCUUAGAGUUAGAAUCAGAAUUAGAUUACUCUAGUAAUUUUGAUAGUGAAUUAGAUGAAUAUACGUGUAUUUUUGAAGAACAAACAGAGCAUGAGGAAUUUAAAUAUGUUAAUUUAGGAUGGCCUCAAGAAUGUAAUCAAUGUAAGAAAAUAGUGGUAGAAAAAUAUUACACUAAGACCGUAGUUUAUUGUAAACUUUGUUAUAAUAAUAGACCAAUAGAAAUAAAUACAGCUGAAAUAAUAGAUAACAAUAAUCAAAAUAAUAAUAGCCCCAGUAUAGAGAAACAAAAUACAAGUUCAUUAAUAACAAUUAAUUGUGAGUUAUAAUUGUCAAAAUAAAAUAAAAUUCAAACAACAGCUAUGAUAGAUACAAGAAGCAUAAAAAAUGUAAUAAAAGAAGAAUUAGUGCUAGAACAAUUUAGGCAAAAACUAGCUAGAUGAGUAAGAAUUAUACAGUUUGAUACAAGACUUGUAUAUUUAACACACUGUAUUAAUAAUAUACUAAUUAGGAUAGAAAGACAACAGUUUAAUUUACCCUUAACCUUUAUAUCCCGGAUCAUAUCCUUUUAUCUUAGGAUUAAAUUUCUUAAAAAGUUUACAAGAAGGAUUUUUAUAUACACCUAUAGAUAUUACAUUUUUUAAGAAAGGUAUAACCACAACUGAUCAAAGUAAUAUAUUAGAGUCUUACAACAGUAUUAACAUAGAAGAACAAAAUUUUAAAUACUAUAAUAUGGAAGAAGUAGAAGAAAUAAAUGAAGAAAUGUGUGACACCCGACCCAAUUUAAUCAUUUUAUUCAAUUUAACUCGAUUUAUUUAAAUUGUGAAAUUACAAUUUUACCCUUGGAAUAAGGUCACGAUAGUCAGUUUUCGAUCCGUAAGGAUUUUUGAGAUUUGAGUGGCACAGUUGCGUUGAGCUUGUCGCCAUUGUGUUGAGCUCGUCGAUAUGAGUUCGUAGACACGUAGUGGGUCGAAAUCAUAGUUUUAACGAAAAAGUUACGGUCAACAGAAGUGUAGUAGCACAACCAUAAAUAUUAGAAAGUCGGAUUUUUAAAUAACCAGUCAGCUCUCUCUUUCUCCCCUGACCUCUACCUCUCUCUCUCUCUCUCUCUCUCUCUCUCUCUCUCUCUCUCUCUCUCUCUCCUCUCCAUACACGCAUGACAGCCGAAAUUUCAGUUGAAGAUUCCAGCGCCGUCCGGCCACCAUUUCCAACGAAACAAGUUGCAAAAUCUUCGUCUCUUCCUCCUCUACCCAUCCAUACCCAUUUUCACCUUUGAAACUCCAAGAUUGGUCGCGAUUUUCAACUGAAACUGAGUCAAAAACCACUUUCGUCCUCGAAAUUGUUCGUACGAUUUUCAGCUAUUCUAGAAGCCAAAAUUUUCGAACUAGGUAUGAAACUUCAUCUACUCUUUGUGCUCUACCUGUUUAUGUACUUGGUUUGGGUUAAUUUUGAUGUUUUAGAAAUCGAUUCUUAAGCCCAUUUUUGGCCGACUGUUUUGGCUUUGUUCCGGCUAGUUCCAGAUAAUUUUUGGCCAUGGUCCAAGAACAAAAGUUGCUCUCCUAGUUGUCCUGAUCACGUAGGUAUAGGUAUUGUUAGGUGUUUUGAGAAUUUUCCGGUCGCCGAAAUUUUCUCAAAAUACCCACCCGCUGCCAGCUCGUGUGGCGACGCGUGGGUCAUGAGGUGGUGGCCCAUUUUGUCCUAAAAUGUUCCUCAUGUCAUCCCGAGAAUGACAGUAUGCUCGGAUUCGAAUUUGGUUAUCGUUUGACAGUUGAAUGGAUUUACGCAUAUUAGACGAUAUCAGGGUUCGAUAUGUUUGGAUUGUUGGAUCGGCUCCAUUUCCAAGUAUGUUGAUCUAGGUAUCUCUAGGAUCGUGUAGGAACUCAAGGAUCGAGAAUCAGAGUUCCAGAUACUCAAAGUUGACAUAAAACGGUGACUGUUGAAAUUAAAAAAAAUCGGCCAAAUAAAUCUUAUUAUUUAUUUCAAAUAAAAAUUAAAUGAUAAAGUCAAACCAACAUGGGUUCCCAAAAUUUUGGGAUAUCUGUUAUGUUUCAAAUUGGAAAGGCUAAAGCUGAUCAGCACUUACUUGAAAUUCAAAAAGUGUUGUGUUUUCAAAGGAGUUUUAUCUAGUUGGCCUAUAAAAAGGCUACAAUAGAAAAAGAAGAAAAGAAAGAAAGGAGAAAGCCGACGACAGAUUAAAAAAGACUGCAAGAGAAAUUGCUAUAGGUAUACUGUCAUCUCUAUUCUCUUUUCUAUAUUGGGCAUGGCAUGCCACAAAUCCAUGGGUAAGAAACCUAAAAAUUACUUGAAUGCGAAUUUAUGGGUGAGAAACCCUAAAAUUAUUAGGAUGCAAAUUCAUAGGCGAGAAAUUCAGAAAUUACUUGAAUGCAAAUUCAUAGGUGAAAAACCUCAAAAUUAUUUAGAAAUAAAAAUUCAUAUGGAUGAACAGACAAAAAAAAGAAGAAGAUGAAAGACAGCCACGUUUUAAUGGUUUAGCCUGAGGUUGUUGGCAUUCAGAAACAACAAACCAAAAAAAAAAAAGGCAGCAAAUUAAAAGGAUUGGAAUGAAUGGUUUGCGCUAGUGCCAUAUUAAAACAAUAAACAAAAGGAGGCUUGAAGUGGCCACGUCCGACAGAUUGGCUUUGAAACAAAAGCAUGGGCUUGGUGUGUGAACAGGCAAGAAGAAAAUAUAAAAAUAUAUACAUAUAUAUAGUUGGAAAAAAAAAAGAAAAGAAGAAAAGUAAAAAUAAAAAAAACAAAAAAAACCUAAAGAAAAGAGGAAGGAACAAAAGUGGCAUACACAGCCACUUUCUUUGUGUUGCUGAGGAAAAAAAGAAGAAAAAGACAAAAAAGUGUGGGAAACUCUUGGCAGCUUGCGGCAGCCUAUUUGUUGGUUUGCGAAAGUUCUGUACCAAUUGUGCCUUUCUGUAGUCCUUUAAAUGCUGAAGAGAUACAAUGUUUGCUCUUAAUUUGGACUGAUCUCAAGUAUUUCAAAUAAAUAUGGGAGUGCAAGGUAUGAUUUUACUUGGAAACAAAUUCUAGGAAGAGUUGAAUAGCUAUCAGGUCGCUUCAAUCGGCUGCUGGACCAAAGUUUUUUGUGGGUUUCUUGCUUGUGAGCUAACUUACAACAAAUAUUAAAGGCUCGAAAUAGAUUAAUGGGCCGUCAAAAAUAAUUGCCUAUUAAUUGUCAAAAGUCCAUAAUGUUUAAUGGGUGGACUAAAUAAACAUUAAUUAAAUUUAUAGAUGCUCAAAUUGCCUAUUAUAUGGUUCAUUGAUCAAUUUUAAAAAUCCUCGUAGCCAUAUUUGAGUCCAAGUGCAAAUGUCAAUUUUAGAAAAUUAGUGGGUUAAUAAAAAUUUCUCAUUAUUUUUCUUGGGCAUUGACAAAAAGAAAAAUGGUACAAAACCAUCCAAUUUUUCCCAUGGGUCAUCUACCCAUGCCAAUUUCAAUGAAAUUAAAUUCUAGUCUCUCAAACACAAAUUCUCAAUUAAUAGGUCACACUUACCCAUUAAUUUUCAAUUUUUCUCAUAGGUCAUCUACCUAUGAAAAUCUCCAAAUUGUCCCAAAGACACAAAUUCUCAAUUAGUGGGCCACACUUACCCAUUAAUUACCAAAUUUUGGAACUACGCCAGUUUGAUCCGAUUAAGGGUACAUAGGCAAUCUAGCAUCCUAAUAGACACAACCACAACCAAAUUUGAAUUCCUGGUUUAUUAUUAACCAAAUUCACCCCAAACACACAUCAAAAUUGAAUCCCUGGCUUAUUCAGCUAAAUUCACUCAUACACUUUUUAAAUAAAAUUCAUUAAAAUUCCCCCUUUAGCAAUGAGUCAUUUAUUCAUUGCAAUUCUUUGAACUACAAGUGGCUUGAUUCCCGCUAGGGAUACGUAGUGUCACAGCCUGCAUGUUCAAGGCCCAACCCGUUGGAUUGAUCAUGCUAGACCUCUUAGCCCACAUGUCCAGAUUCGUUGUACAAUAGUAGGUAGACUACGGUUGGUGACAGUAGUUGGUAGAUGCCGGUAGGUGACAUUGUAUCUUAGCCACCUACCAUGAUGGUAGGUGGGAUAGAGAAAGUAUAUAAGGAGGAUGACACAAUGUGUAUCCUCACCUCACAACUUGUAAAGCAUUGAGUAGCAAUACAAGCAUAUAUUCUCCCAAACUUUCUUAAGCGUUCUUAUUGUGUUCUUGCUCUUGCAAUUAUUCUUUGUUUGGUUCGAUCUUGUAUUGUAGGAAGGAGGCUGACUUAGCUUGUUCGAGAGGCGAUCAAGUCUAAGGCCGCACGGAAGGAAGAUUCCGAAAAAGUCAUCCCGUGACAGUUGGCACCUUGAGGUUGGACUUAGGAGCAGCCGCAAAACCAAAGAGGCAGAAAGAAGCAAAGAGGCAGUCUAUUAAGGCAAUCUUAUUUGAGCUUUCUGGGACAAGCUCAAUGAUGAUUGUAAGUUGUGCCGACUCCUAAGAAGAGUAAUACCACCCGUUUUGUCCAAAUCAUGAUUAGAUCAAUCUCGGUCAACCUGUAUCCUACAGAUUCUGUCCUGAUGACUUCCACGAACGAAACUAGUAAGGAAAGUCAAAAGGAUAACUCUGUGGAGAACGCUGAGGUUCAAGGGGCCGAACCUCCAUCAAGCCAUCGAACCCAUGUUGUGGAAUCCACAUCACAAGAGGUUUACCCAUAUUUUUCAAAGGGUAAAAGUAAAGCCAUCAUCAUGAACAAGAAGGUGGUGAACAUACCUCAUCCACAAAGGAAGCUCGUGCAAAAGGUGAAGAUAACUGAUGUUUUAAGGGAUCAAAUUCCAUAUCACAAGGGGCAGUCCCGAAACCUCAAGAUCAGUCGAGGUCCUAUAUGGGUCCAUUGACUCGUUCCAAAUCCCGAGACAUGAUGGAGAUGAUUAUUCCCGAGUUAUCCGCUCUAAACUCAACCCACUUGGACAACUAUUUGUUAUGGAAUCCUUUUUAUGAUGAUCCCAUAUCUCAAACUCAAGAGAAUGAUUACAUAAAAUCCUAAGGAGCCAAACGUCAUGAGGGAGUGGAAAGCAUGCAAGUCAUUAUGACUGGUACUUCUAAUACUAAGGACCAGUUACCCUUAAUCCAAGAAAUGAUGCAAGAUAUGCGAAGGGAAAAGCAGCAGAAGUUGGCAGAGAAAGACACAGAAAUAGUGUUACUAUUUGCCCAGUUGAAAGAAAUAGCCACUAUGGGAAAGUAGGACAGGGACAAAGCAAAUGAAUUCGUGACCCAAGAACAACAAAGGAAAGAGGAAAAAGGAGAGGGCUCUACGAGCACAAUUUCCCCAAACGACAUAAAGGCAUUAAUUGCUGAGGGGAUUCCUGAGUUCCAAAUGUCCAUAGCACCUCCUGUUCAAGGGUAUCGAUAACCCUUCCCUUCUCCUUCUCACUAUGACGCCAUCUCAUUCCCGAAGGGUUAUCAACGGCCCAUAUUUGAUAAAUUUGAUAGCAUAAAUAGCUCACCCCAUGAACAUCUGGCACAUUUUUAUUCAGCAUGUGGCGAGACAUCUCAGUCUGACAUUUUCCUGGUGCAUCAAUUUGUCCAAUCCCUAAAAGGAUCAGCUUUUACUUGGUACACACAGCUACCGCCAGGCUCUAUCCUAACAUGGGAUGACAUGCAGAAAGCAUUCUUGGCACAAUUUGUUAGUUCUAAGAAGAAGGUCUUGAUCAUGGACCUAGCUCUAACUACCCAAAAGCCAGGAGAAAGUACCAAUGACUUCAUACUGAGAUGGAGAAGCCUCAAUCUCCAAUGCCCAGAGAAAAUUACCGAUCAAUCAGAAGUGCAAAUGUGCUACAACAACCUCAUACCAGACAUUGCAACUUUUGUUGCCAUUGCUGAACCUCAAUCAUUUGAUGCCUUGGUGUUAAAGGCAAGCAAUGUUGAAAGACAAAUUGCUCGCAAAAAAUCCGAGACCCAAAAAAUUCAAUUUGAGGAAAAGAAAAAUGACAAGAAGUCUACGAAGGGAAGUCGUUGGCCACUUUUGUCAAAACAGAAAAGAAAAAUGACAAAGGCCAAAGUAAAGAUCCACCCAAAAGGCUCACUCUUAAGGAGCGCAAAGAGGUCAAAUAUUCUUUUGACGAUGAUGAUGUAGAAGAAAUCUUUGACCAACUUCUUGCCUCUAAUGCUAUUACCCUGCCAGAAUCAAAGCGUCCUGCUGGGGCCAACAAGAUAAAUGACCCUAGUUAUUGUCGGUAUCAUCGCCUUGUCAGUCAUACGCUCAAGGAUUGUUAUAUCCUGAAGGAUGAAAUCCAAGAGCUCCUCAACAAUGGUGGUUUAGAGAUAGACUCUUCUUCUCGACAUCAAUCAACUGCAACAAAUAUGAUUGAGGAAAAGCUCACACCCACCACUGCAUUAUUAGAUGGAGAGAAAUUUGUAGGUAUUAAAAAAGACAAUGGGGACACAAUUAUACAUGCCUAUCCAAAUGCACCAUGCCCUAGUGAUCUUGAAAUUCCCACUCUUCAAGAGCUCAUGACUAUACCUAGUCCAGAGAUAUGGGAAGAUUCUUUGGCCGACGAAUCUUUUGAGAGGUGGAAGACAUUUGUUAAAAGAGCCAAGCACAUGGCCAAACAUUUCCCAUCCAAUCACAAAUCUGUUACUCGUCCUGGUGUCAAGAUUCAAGACAUGCCUUCUUUCAAAAAUAAGAGGAAGAAGAAGAAGGUGCAAAAGAAAGUUCAAAUCCCUCAAGAGGAUGAAUAUGAACAACCCGCAAGGGUCCCUGUCACACUCACUGAGUUUUUGCUAGUUUAGUUCUUCUCGAGUGAAUCCAAAGUUGAGGAAGAAAUUAUUCAAUGCAACAUGGUUUCUGUGGAGGAAUAUGAGGUUGACACAUAGGUUGAUGAGAUUAACCUCCACUCUGGUCGAAGCAUCCCAUCUGCUGAUAAAGCACAACAAAAUGAGGAAGUUGAUUCCUCUAAAAUCGAGAAGAAGUCAAAGGCAAAAGAGAUUAAGGUCUCCUCAUCAAAAAAAACUGUUGCAGGGGAAGAUCCACCAUCCUCCUCAAAAGCGAAGGACCCUAAGCCCGAUACCGGUAAAACCAAGGAGUCAUCGCAAUCAAAUGCACUUAAGUAUGAUAUUUUGGCUCAUCUUAAGCGCAUCCCACUCCUUUAAGUGUCUAUGACGCUUUAAAAAUAUUAAGAGAGCUUAGGGAAGCACUUGUAAUGGCUUUAAUGAGCCCGGAUUUGUACAAAUCAUGUUUCAAAUCAGCGGAUGUCCACACAACUGAAACCUCAAAGUUUUGUGCAUCGUGUCCAGUAGAGAUUACCUUUGGUGAAGAUGACUUUUUACUUGGGUCCAAAUUCCAUAAUUGACCUCUUUAUGUCACUGGCGAAGUUGGAGGCACGACCAUUAAUUAAAUUUUGUUAGAUUGUGGUUUGGUCAUGAAUCUUAUCCCAUUAAAGACGCUCCAUGCUAUAAGGAUGAGUGUCCGACAGUUGUCUCCCUCUAUGCUGACUAUUCAAGGGUUCAAUCAAUUUGGGUAAAAGGCCAUGGGCUCUAUCGCACUGCAAAUGGAAAUAAGGGACCUAUAUUCAAACGCCCUAUUCCUUGUGAUCGAUGCUAACACUUUGUACAACAUCCAAUUAGGACGUCCAUGGCUCCAUACAUAUGGCGUAGUCCCUUCUACACUUCACCACUGCUUCAAAUACUUGGUAGAUGGGGAAGUCAAGAGCGUUUCAGCUGACAUGGACCCGUCCAGAGGCGAAGUUUUACGGUCCACCUGGUAUCUCAUUCACCCAGCCAUCAAAGGUUGAUUUUUCCAAUUUGAGAAAUAACAUUAGGUCCUAACCAAUUCAAUUAUUGUACGAAAGCAGAUUUGAUUUGCAAUUACUGACAACUCAUAGAUUGAGCAAAAUUUUGUUAAGAACAAACUAUGCAUGUAAUGUAAAUUUAUGUGAGAUAAAUGAAUUUUAAAAUAAAAAAUACAAACUCUGUUUUCGGGGCCUCAGUACAUAGUAAUAAUAUUACAACCAGAGAAAUGAGGAUUUUCAAAUGCACAGCAUUUGCAAAUAAAUUAGCAACAACUACCAUACAUAGUCUUUUGAAACAUGAACAGAAAACUAACCUGUAAUCAGAGAAACUAUCAAACACUUUCCAAAAUAGGUACACAAAAGCAGAACAACAUCACCUAUCCAAAAUACAAAGACAGAAAAACAAAAUGAAACAACAAUUAGGCGAGAAGAACAAAAAAGUAUCAAAAAUAACUUGGUAACUACAAAAUACAACCAAAAAACACUUCAAACACAUGGCUCAUCAGUAGGAUCAUACAUAAUUAAUCACCAACUAACCUUACCCUAACCAUAGUUACUAAAAAAUUAAAUAUAAUAAGAGAUAUAUCCAGACGAUUAAAUAAAUAAAUUUGACAAUCCUGCUUAGUUGCUUGUGGAAUACAUAGAUCGGACGAAUAUGGUUAAUUGAGGAGAGCACUACGCAUAUGACAAAAGCAGCUCCAGUACACAUUGUCUUCACUCACACACACACGAGAUUGGACAUAACGGGAGAUUGGAAAGAACUAAUUUUCACAUGAGAAGAUGAGAGAUUGUUCAUUAGGAAGAGACAGAACGGCUACAACAAUACAAGUUAGGUUAAUUCCUUUUUUUCCUUUUUUGGUCGUGUUAAGGCCCAAAUAUAUUUCUAGCCAGUACAACACCUAACUUGGAAAGAAACUUAACUUGGGUACACUAGAGUUUGUCAUAUACGCUUGCACACAUGCCACGCCAAGCAAAUAAGCAACACGCCACGCUACAAGCUUAAGUGGGCCUAAGCCACGCAAAUGUGUGGGGCUUGCUAAGCAAGUUGUGGUAUGGAUGGUUACGAGUUUUCAUGAGGCCCAUUGAUGAAACGAGAAAUGGAAGUUUUGGGUUACUUGGGAGCCCUGAAACUCAAGCCCAUUUCUGGAGGCCAAAUAUGUGGGUUAGCAUAAAGGAGAAAAAAUAGCCCAAUACUUUAGGAAAAAUAGCCCAAUAGUCUAGGAAAUUAGACCAUUCCCUUAAUGGGUUAACCCAUCACCUUAGAAAGGCCCAAGCAACCAAGGAAAAUAUCUGCAACCUCCAGCACUUAGCUGGAAACAAGGGUCACGACAAAAGCCAAGGGUUACUUGUGUAUGCAGGCUAUUGGGAGUCUCGAGCACAUGGCCAAGAAACAAACCCAAGGCAAACCACUCGAAGAACCAAAGAAUAUUAGUGCGAGCAGCACCCUUCAGACCAACGUUGUUACCCAUCUCUUUCUCCUACCAGCUCUUGCCAUGAAUAGGGGAGGAAAGAAAGAGAAAUAGUAACCAAAGAUAGGAGAUUGCCACUGGAAUAACUGCGAGAAGGCUCUAGAGCCUCCAAAAAUCUUGUCUUUGAGUGCUUGGACUAAGGAAGAUUUUACAAAAUAGGGAUGAAUCAGAGGAAGAGAAGAGAAAGGGAGGGAAAGACUUGGCAGAUUGGGGAGGAACCAUCUAGGGUUUCUUGGGAAGAAGGAGUUUCCAGCGCCUAUAAAAAAAGGCAUUUCCUAUCCAUCAUCUCAACCCACAUCCAGAGAGCAAGCUUCAUCUUUCAUCCCUGAAACUCUGCAAUUUCGAGCCCCAUUCCUCCAUCUCCUCCCAUUUUCUCUUUUGGUAAAUCAUUCCAAAGCUUGACAGAGCUUUUGUCAAGCAACCGAAAACUACCCAACACACCCAUUGUUAUCCCCCCAUCUCUCUCUCUUAAACGAACCCUCUUAGAAUCCCUUCCCCUGGCCUUAUAAUCCCUGUUUCUCAUAGGAACUCACAGCUCUCUCUCUUUUUAAUGCUAAACUCAUGACUGCUUAGCUUCCAUUCCACAAGCUUCUCAAGCCAAGCCAAGAAUUUAUCUAUAAGCAACUGUUGGUUACAUUGGUGAAGGAGACCAAUGUGUUUCCUAAGGUUCAGCUACCCUUUCGAAGCACUCUUAGGGUCUGAUUCUUGAACUUAGACUCAGGGGGAAUUUUCACCCAUUUUCUCUUUAUAGCAGCCCAGGCCCGUCUGUAGCUGCGGGAACGAAAAAGCCCCCGCAGGUCGAAAGGUUAAUUUUUUUUCAAAAUCUUAAAUUUUUAGCCUUGAUGAAAUUUAAAUGAGGUGGCAUGUGGAGAAGAGAAAUCAAGCAGAUCAUGAUAAAGAAAAACCAAGCUGAGAAUCUGAAUCCAUGUAUAAGAGCAUAUAUUGGUUAGUAGGCUGAGAUUCUAUCCUCUCCAAUGUAACCAAAUUGAUUAUAAUGGCAAACUUAUUGUCCUAAACAACAAAAGAUGAUAGACCUACACUUUCCAUAAACUGUUUUACCAUGAAUAAUCCCUCAACUAUACGAACCUCAUCAUUUUGGUCCUUCAAAUUGAGCAACGUAAUGAGUUUGACUUAAUUGUUCUUUUAGUGAAUUUGGGACGUGACACAUCGGCUAGAUAUUGCACAUAAUUGAAACAACUACACCCCAAAACACGAAUUGCAUCAAUUCCAAAGGUCUCUUGGAGAAAAAAAGAGAAACAAAAUAACUCAAAAGGAUUAAUGGUUUUGAGUAAAACAUGUUCGAAAGAUCGAACUAUGCUUCAAUUUAAUUUUGAAAAUAAAUGCAUGGAUUAUGCUUCUAUUUAUAUGAUAUGUAUAGUACAGUUUGUCUUAUUUGUAGCAGUAACCAUGUUAUAAUAAUUAGAAAUUUUUAUUAGUUUCCUCUUCAGAUGAUAGCUAAUUAUAUUUAAUUGGUGAUUAACCUCUAAAUCUUAUUCUUUGGAUGUUACAAUAUUAUGGGAAGACAUCCACGAUGGGGACUACGCCUGCUUACCAUCAGGAGCAAUAAACAUGUGCUCUGGAGAAGUUGAUGGGUUAGUUGCAAGAUUCCAAACAAUUAUUUGAAUCCUCUCAAAUUCAACUCAGCAUGCUGAUGAUGUAGAGUCAAAAGGUUAUGUAAGGCUUUCAAUAUAAAGUAGAAAGGCAGAAUUCUUACCUUUGCUGUUUUACUCCCAUUGACAGAUAAAGAAGAUGUGUAAUCAAAUAAGGGCUGCUGGCAUUCUUUAUACGCAAAUCAAAGAGUCGCUGCAACUGCAACUACAUGUCGAGAGGCCUCUUCGUUACAGGUGCAUAGAUGAGAUCCAUCUAACUAUCUCAGUGGUGUCUCAAGAUUAUAUGAUUUUUAUAUACGGGAUCCAUUGAAUUUCUUGUUUCCAUAUUGUAUUUUACUCUGCAUUAGAGUCCUUGUUGGGGUCAAUAACUGUAAACUGGUUUGGAACUCAUAACAUUAGCCAAAUCAGUGAUAGGAAUUCUCACGGCUUGUCUUUGUGCCAGUAAAAAGAGAUCUCUGAACUUGGAAGACUUUGAUGUUGCAGAGGACUAAUAGAAAACACAAUGCCAAGUACCUCUUGUUACAUUCUAAUAUUUCAAUUUCAUUUAUUUACUUGCACGAACAGAUUCAGCGAAAUUUAAAGUUGCGAAUUGAUGAACAAGGGAAGCAGCUAAAGAAGAUGUUUGAUCUGCAACCCAAAAAAAAAAAACAAGUAACAACCUGUUGAAGACUCAUGCAGUUCUCUUUAGUCUUUGGUGAGAAAAGAAAAGGUGGCAGAUUUUAACCAAACCAUUACAAAGAAAAGGAUAGAUGUACAAGAAUCUCAUGCAGUUGAAGCGCUCAUGUGAAGAGCUACUAAGGAUGCAUAAGAUCCAUUCGAGAUAUUCAUCAAAGUAUCAUGCUUGCCUCUCUCUACGAUAACCCCAUUUUUUACCACUGCGAUCACAUCAGCAUUCUUGAUUGUGGAUAGUCUAUGGGCAACCACCACUGUGGUCCGGUUUACCAUCACUCCGUCUAAUGCAUCUUGAACCACUCUCUCAGAUUCAGCAUCGAGUGCACUUGUAGCUUCAUCUAACAGUAAUAUCUUGGGGCUCUUGAUUAUAGCACGCGCAAUGGCUAUGCGUUGCUUCUGUCCCCCGGAUAAUUGCACUCCUCGUUCUCCUACUAUGGUGUCAAACCCCUGCAUAAUGCAUUCGGAUUAAUGUUGCAACAAUCUAUUAUAAGUUAUAACUAAGAUCAGUUGACUUGUACCCAAAAACAUUUAUUAUAAUGCAUUAAUGUUCUAACCUGUCCUAAGCUACUAAUGAACCUGUAGGCAUUGGCCAACUCGGAUGCAGCUAUAAUUUCGGCCUCAGUUGCAUCUCCUUCUUUUCCAUAUGCAAUGUUGGCGCGGAUGGUGUCGUUAAAUAAAGCAGGUUCUUGGCUCACAAGCCCCAUCUGUUGCCUUAACCAUUUCAAUUGGAAUUUUCCAAGUUCAAUUCCAUCAAGUGUGAUAUGACCUGAAUCCGGAUCAUAAAAUCUUUGCAACAAUGCUACUACUGAGGAUUUUCCACUCCCAC
rnacentral:lncRNA from 1 species